ACGCGGAGCAUCUGGACUACACUUCCUAGAAUACCAAGGAAAACCAUCGGGAGUCUCACCUUCCAGGUAGACGUGUUGGGGGCGCAGGAAGUUUCUUGCCUCCACUUCCCAGGAUGCCAGGGCGGAAAGAAUCCCACAGUCCCGACUUCCGUGGUGGUAGUAAGAGUCUGCUCCUGAGUCGUCCCGCGAAGGAAAGCAUCAGAGACAGAAAAAAUUAAGCCAUUCACCCAGUGUUCUACUGAGGGAGACAAAGAAGGUGCGCCCUCAAGGCGAGAGCCCUGGAGACCGUCCAAGGCCAGGUACAAUCCUACCCACCCCUCAGCCUCUGCCCAAAGGAACCACUGCCCACGACCCAGCCUUCAAGCCAUCGCUCUCUGACGCAGCGCUUCCACACAAAAUUAAUGGCUGGGUUAGAUCGCUAACCGGGGAAGUUGGGAAGAGUCGCAAAACGCGAAAGCAACUCACCACAGCCAAAGAAAAGGCGAGAACCAAACCACCCGGAAGGGAAGUGACUGAAACCCCGCCCCCAGGCUACGAUAGGGAUAUCCUUCCCAGAAUUCCCUUGUCGCUGCUGCGCCUGUACGGAAGUGUAAGAGUCGCCACAGAACUGUGGACUACAUUUCCCAGAAAACCAGAGGAGAACACAGCCCGAGUUCCCAUCCUUCUCCACCGGAAGUACUGGAGACGCUUCGGAGACGUUGGACUGCAGUUCCCACAAUACCCUUAGGGACGAAGUUUCUAUUGUGGAGCUCCUGAGCAACUCCAGUGGUGAACUUAAGAUUCUCUGAAGAAUGCACAAGAGAUGAAGGCUCAGGGAGCUGCACUAUUGGAAAUCUACGUAGCAGAACUGUUGGUCAAAACAUUUUAGUUUAAAACCGUAUUACAACACAGUUUUCUCAUGGUGUAAUGGGUUAAGGAUCUGUCGUUAGUCACUGCAGGGGCUUGGGUCGCUGCUGUGGUGUGGUUUCAAUCCCUGGCCCUGGGAACUUGGCGGGGGGGGGCACAACCAAAAAAAAAAAAAACUAAAAAUUACUUACAAGGGUGAAUAUUAAGUUAUGUGAAUUAUAUAUGAUUAAAAAAAAAAA
rnacentral:lncRNA from 1 species